GAGGAAGAGGYUGUUGUUGCUGGCCAGGAGCUGUGCCUUGCUACCGCCGUCUGGAGCAGAGCGAGCGAUGUGGGGGUCUGUCAUCAAUUUAAUUCUAGCCGUAACACACCAGCCUUCACGCAACACGGAAACAAAUCUGUUGUUUGCACCGUGAGAUUUCCAGCUCGACUCAAAUCAUGAGAAGAAAUCACUCUGGCUUCAGAGGAGGUGAGAGGUCCCCAUAAUGAGUGAAARCCUCCUGGCCAGAGAAGCAGCUCCAGCAGUUGUUGCAGUGCACAACGGGACCAGUAGAAAUUCCGGGUGAGCUGAGCAAUCCCUCUGCU